rnacentral:snRNA from 1 species
UCAUGCGAAGAGAACACCUCUUC